CAGCAUGGUUCCAUGUUGCCAGUUGUGGCCAUGGGAUCCCCAACUGCAUGUGAGAGCAACCUGAAGGGACUUGGACAUCACAGGUGAGCAUAAUACCUACAGCUGUCAUUCACCUUCCCUAUAGCA